AAUAUGGGACAAUGGGCGAAAGCCUGAUCCAGCCAUGCCGCGUGGUUGAAGAAGGACUUCGGAUUGUAAAGCACUUUAAGUUGGGAGGAGGGGCAGUAAGCAAAUACUUUGCUGCUGUGACGGUACCGACAGAAUAAGAACCGGCUCACUUCAUGCCAUCAGCCGCGGUAAUACGAAGGGUGAAAGCUUUAAUCGGAAUUACUGGGCGUAAAGGGAGCGUAGGUGGUUUGUUAAGUUCGCAGUGAAAGCCCCGGGCUCAAUCUGGGAACUGCUUUCAAAACUGGCAAGCUAGAGUAUGGCAGAGGGUGGUGAAAUUUCCUGUGUAGCGGUGAAAUGCGUAGAUCUAGGAAGGAACACCAGUGGCGAAGGCGACCACCUGGGCUAAUACUGACACUGAGGUGCGAAAGCGUGGGGAGCAAAC
rnacentral:rRNA from 1 species